UACGGAGGGUGCGAGCGUUAUCCGGAUUUACUGGGUUUAAAGGGUGUGUAGGCGGACUUUUAAGUCAGUGGUGAAAUCCCGGGGCUCAACCCCGGAACUGCCAUUGAUACUAUUGGUCUUGAAUAUUGUGGAGGUAUGCGGAAUGUGUCAUGUAGCGGUGAAAUGCUUAGAGAUGACACAGAACACCGAUUGCGAAGGCAGCGUACUACACAAUUAUUGACGCUGAGGCACGAAAGCGUGGGGAUCAAACAGG
rnacentral:rRNA from 1 species